CUCCAGAAUGCCCAGCACUUUGAAUCCAACACGAUUCUGUGUAAAGUUUGCACCAAGAGUGAUUCUUAUGUAGUAAGGUGUUGUGUUAAAGGGUCUCUACUGGAGGUGAAUGAGAGACUAAUCAAGCAGCCUAACUUGCUCAAUUCAUUGGCAGACCGAGAAGGAUACAUUGCAAUCAUCAUGCCAAAACCAGCAGACUGGCUCAAGGUGAAGGCUACAUUGCUGGGGCUCGAAGAAUACAAAAGAUUGAAGGAACAAUGCUAAGUGAUCAAGAACUGGUCAAGUUUCAUUGACAUGUUACUUGCCAAAAUGGGCGAACUGAAACUUUGAGGAUGGGGAUUAGAGAUGGAAAUGAGUCUCCACCUGCUGAAGCAUGUGAUUCUUGACAACCGGGGUUCCUCCUAGGUUAGACAUUGGAUGUGGUGGUAUGAUUGAUAUCUGUUGUUUCUCUUGCCAUGUUGAAGUGAUGGCGGGCAUCAAGUUUUCUUUGUACAUUUCCAUCAAAGCGGAAGUAGUUAAAGAAACUCAUUCUUCAGACUGGAAA